GGGGAAUAUUGCACAAUGGGGGAAACCCUGAUGCAGCGACGCCGCGUGAGUGAAGAAGUAUUUCGGUAUGUAAAGCUCUAUCAGCAGGGACGAAUAAAUGACGGUACCUGACUAAGAAGCCCCGGCUAACUACGUGCCAGCAGCCGCGGUAAUACGUAGGGGGCAAGCGUUAUCCGGAUUUACUGGGUGUAAAGGGAGCGUAGACGGUGAUGUAAGUCAGAUGUGAAAGCCCGGGGCUCAACCCCGGGACUGCAUUUGAAACUAUGUUGCUGGAGUGCAGGAGAGGUAAGUGGAAUUCCUAGUGUAGCGGUGAAAUGCGUAGAUACUAGGAGGAACACCAGUGGCGAAGGCGGCUUACUGGACUGUAACUGACGUUGAGGCUCGAAAGCGUGGGGAGCAAAC
rnacentral:rRNA from 1 species